rnacentral:rRNA from 1 species
UACGGAGGAGGCAAGCGUUUAUCCGGAAUCAUUGGGCGUAAAGCGCGCGUAGGCGGUCAGGUAAGUCCGGUGUGAAAGUCAAAGGCUCAACCUUUGAAUGCCGCUGGAAACUGCCUGACUUGAGUCCGGUAGGGGGCGAGUGGAAUUCCUGGUGUAGCGGUGAAAUGCGCAGAUAUCAGGAGGAACACCAAUGGCGAAGGCAGCUCGCUGGAACGGUACUGACGCUGAGGCGCGAAAGCGUGGGGAGCGAACAGGG